AUUGAACGCUGGCGGAAUGCUUUACACAUGCAAGUCGAACGGCAGCACGGACUUCGGUCUGGUGGCGAGUGGCGAACGGGUGAGUAAUGUAUCGGAACGUGCCCAGUCGUGGGGGAUAACGUAGUGAAAAUUACGCUAAUACCGCAUACGAGCUAUGGAUGAAAGCGGGGGAUCGCAAGACCUCGCGCGAUUGGAGCGGCCGAUAUCAGAUUAGGUAGUUGGUGGGGUAAAGGCCCACCAAGCAGACGAUCUGUAGCUGGUCUGAGAGGACGACCAGCCACACUGGGACUGAGACACGGCCCAGACUCCUACGGGAGGCAGCAGUGGGGAAUUUUGGACAAUGGGCGCAAGCCUGAUCCAGCAAUGCCGCGUGCAGGAUGAAGGCCUUCGGGUUGUAAACUGCUUUUGUACAGAACGAAAAGGUUUCUACUAAUACUAGGAGCUCAUGACGGUACUGUAAGAAUAAGCACCGGCUAACUACGUGCCAGCCGCCGCAGUAA
rnacentral:rRNA from 1 species